AGCCGCGGCAUUUCAACCACGCUAAAACAGAAGAGGCUAGAAGAUUUAAACACUGACUCAAAAGGAGCGUGAGUUCAACACUAGCGUUCAUCUGUCUCUUCUUCCCGAGUGUGUAUACAGUGUAUCCAGCCGCUUCAAGCUCAACCAGCGCGCCUUGCCGGCUAUGGUAUAUCUCCACACCACAAGCAUGCAGGGCCUGUGGAGGCCAGAAGAGGGAGACAGAUUCUCUGGAACUGGAGUUAUAGAUGGCUUUGGAU